UAGACCCGGCGCCUUGCCCCCAGAUCUGCAUCGGAAUGCAGAAAAGAUCUUUAAAAAAAAAAAAAAAAGAGUUUUGAAUUCCUCAAUGAUUUUUCUUCUGGAAAGGCAGCUUAGGAUAAUUAUUUCAGCUUUAUUGAGGGCAGAUUAGUUGAAGUCUGGGCGCUGCGUUUCAAUACGCGUUGUACACGGGCCGACAAUGUGG
rnacentral:lncRNA from 1 species